rnacentral:rRNA from 1 species
GAUGAACGCUGGCGGCGUGCCUAAUACAUGCAAGUCGAGCGAACAGACGAGGAGCUUGCUCCUCUGAUGUUAGCGGCGGACGGGUGAGUAACACGUGGAUAACCUACCUAUAAGACUGGGAUAACUUCGGGAAACCGGAGCUAAUACCGGAUAACAUGUUGAACCGCAUGGUUCAACAGUGAAAGUCGGUCUUGCUGUCACUUAUAGAUGGAUCCGCGCCGCAUUAGCUAGUUGGUAAGGUAACGGCUUACCAAGGCAACGAUGCGUAGCCGACCUGAGAGUGUGAUCGGCCACACUGGAACUGAGACACGGUCCAGACUCCUACGAGAGGCAGCAGUAGGGAAUCUUCCGCAAUGGGCGAAAGCCUGACGGAGCAACGCCGCGUGAGUGAAGAAGGUCUUCGGAUCGUAAAACUCUGUUAUUAGGGAAGAACAAAUGUGUAAGUAACUAUGCACGUCUUGACGGUACCUAAUCAGAAAGCCACGGCUAACUACGUG